AACGCACAUUGCGCCCCUCGGUAUUCCGGGGGGCAUGCCUGUUCGAGCGUCAUUGCACCCCUCAAGCGUAGCUUGGUAUUGGGUUCUCGUCCCCGUGGACGUGCCCGAAGAUGAGUGGCGGCCCCGACCCGGUCUCAAGCGUAGUAAAUCUCUUCGCCGCUUUGGAGAUCCGCGUCGGUCCCGGCCAGAACCCCCCCUUUCUUUCAAUGAUUGACCUCGGAUCAGGUAGGGAUACCCGCUGAACUUAA
rnacentral:misc_RNA from 2 species